AUUCUUAAGCUAAGUCCACGUAAAUAAUAUGCCAUUUGAACAUUCUUCAUUCAUUCCCUUAUCAAUUAAUAAUGAUUUCUUCUUUUGAUGAAUGUUUUGAUUUGAAUCAUAGGUUAAUCCAUGAGACAAAUCAGAUCAGAUCUCUCUCUAAACACACAGGUGAAUCAGCUACAUUGAAAUUGCUGCAAUGGCAACAACAACUCUUAGCUCCACCGACACUGAUAAUAUCUCAAAUAUGUUAAAAAACUGCAUUUUAGUUGCUCGAUUGUUGAUGAAUCUAUGUUUCCACGGAAUGCAGUUCGGAAUGGCUUGACCUUCCUAGAUUUAAUCGUCAAGCAGAUUGAGUCUCUCAAUCCUAGAUAUGGAUGCAAUAUGCCUUUCAUGUUGAUGAAUUC